CGUAGGGUGGCUGAAAAUUAGGCGGUAGCCUCUUAAGCUCUCUUAUGGUAGUUACCUCCUACGG
rnacentral:tRNA from 1 species